GGGCUUAAGGGCACUUUAUAUACCGAAUUCGACGAACAAGUACAAUAUGUUCUUGAUGAUGAAGGUGAUGAAUAUGCACAUGGAUACCUGCCCAAUCUUUCAUUUGAGUAGUAUGUGUAAUCAUUGAAUGAAAAUGAGAGUGACCCUCUUGUUCUAAUUGACACUGUUGUAGUUAUAAAACUGUUGUCCAUAGCUCAUAGCGAAAGAGUUUUUACCUGCAGAUGAGAAGUGGGUUUUGGAGGAUUUGGUUAAGGCGACGCUGUGGUGAGUAUCAUGUAAUGUGGGUCUGUGUUGGAUCGGAUUGAUGAAUUGAGAAAUGGAGAGUUAAAAAACGAGCAAAUCAGAAACAGGAUGAGUGAGUGCCCUGGCCGAGGUAAACAGUCGUAGGUCCGAGUUAAGGAUACGUUUGAGCUCAACUUGUGAAUAGUAGUAGCAGUCAAAUCCGAG
rnacentral:lncRNA from 1 species